UCUCUUUACUCCGGAUCGCCAUUUCGAGUAGAUGCUUUAACAAUUCGCUCCGUGAAAAAUACUUAAUUGAGUGUUUUAAAAUGCAUAGAAAUGUUUUAAAAUACCCAGAAACUACUCAAGAAGAUGGUUUCUACUACCAGAAUGAUGUUAUCAGAGGUUUAACUUAGGCAUUGGAGUGUGAAAAAGCCACGUGGAGAGAACAUAGCUGGUCCUUAAAAUGUCCUGAUGAAGGAAAAAAAGAGAAGAGAGG